rnacentral:ncRNA from 1 species
UAUUCAUCCAGACCGACUGAGGGACAGGCCCAGUGACGUCGGGGCAACCACUUAGGUAUUCGUUACCAAGGAAAGGUGCCAACUCCUGCGGGGAUUAUGUCUCCGAGAGAUGAACC